AUAAUAUUGAUGGCCAAUUGGAAUGUCCAUCCCUAGAACGGAUAUGGUUUCGUAUAUGGGUAAAAAAUAAUAAUUUUGGGUUCAGAUUUUGGGCUUGGGUUUGGAUUUUGGUUUUGGGUUUUUGGUCUUAUUUGAUUUUGGAUAUGAAUUCUUAAAAUUCUUCAGGUUCGAGUUUGGAUUCAGAUUCGGGUUUCAGAUCGGUUAUCACAUUUGUGUUAGGGUUUAGAUUCGUGCUCGGGUUUUAAAAAACUUACCCUAAAUCUGAUCGCUUGACAUCACUAGAUAAAAAAUCCUAUUUGUUUCUACUAGAAUUAUUAACUUUAUUC
rnacentral:lncRNA from 1 species